AGGACGAACGCUGGCGGCGUGCUUAACACAUGCAAGUGGAGCGACGAACCAGGGCUUGCCCUGGGGCAGAGCCGCGAACGGGUGAGUAACACGUGGGUUACCUGCCUCGAUGACCGGGACAACCCGAGGAAACUCGGGCUAAUACCGGAUGUGCCCGCAAGGGGAAAGGAAGCUUCGGCCUCCGCAUCGAGAUGGGCCCGCGGCCCAUUAGCUUGUUGGUGAGGUAACGGCUCACCAAGGCUUCGAUGGGUAGCUGGUCUGAGAGGACGAUCAGCCACACUGGGACUGAGACACGGCCCAGACUCCUACGGGAGGCAGCAGUGAGGAAUUUUCCGCAAUGGGCGAAAGCCUGACGGAGCGACGCCGCGUGUGGGAAGAAGGCCUUCGGGUCGUAAACCACUGUCGAAGGGAAGAUAUUGACGGUACCCUUGGAGGAAGGCCCCGGCUAACUACGUGCCAGCAGCCGC
rnacentral:rRNA from 1 species